rnacentral:rRNA from 1 species
UAUAGAGGCGUUUUCCGUGCCGGACCGUGUCCAAGUUCCUUGGAACAGGAUAUCAAAGAGGGUGACAAUCCCGUACUUGACACGACGACCGGUGCUCUGUGAUACGUCUUCUACGAGUCGAGUUGUUUGGGAAUGCAGCUCAAAAUGGGUGGUGAGUUCCAUCUAAAGCUAAAUAUUGGCGAGAGACCGAUAGCGAACAAGUACCGUGAGGGAAAGAUGAAAAGCACUUUGGAAAGAGAGUUAAACAGUACGUGAAAUUGUUGAAAGGGAAACGAUUGAAGUCAGUCGUGACCGAGAGGCUCAGCCGGUUCUGCCGGUGUAUUCCCCUCGGUCGGGUCAACAUCAGUUUUGUCCGGUGGAUAAGGGCGGUAGGAAGGUGGCACCCUCGGGUGUGUUAUAGCCUGCCGUCGCAUACAUCGGGUGAGACUGAGGAACGCAGCUCGCCUUUAUGGCCGGGGUUCGCCCACGUCCGAGCUUAGGAUGUUGACAUAAUGGCUUUAAACGAC